AUUCAAACUACUCAAGAAGAUCAUGUGGGAGCCACCGUGUUUAGAAGAAGGAGCUGCAUUUGAAUAGAAGAUACCACCCAACUUCAUGUUCAGCCAUUUAGCUUUAGUCAAAAUAAGCAUCCUUACCGUGCUUUUGAGCUGAUUCCCUACAACAGACCGUACCAGUCUACUGCAUACACUGCCUUGCUGCAAUGAGGGACUGUAAAAGAGCCCGCAUAAACAAACAGCAAGCAGCCAUCUCAUGUGCCAGCUCACACACAUGUGUGCAUGUGUUCGCACUGGUGGAGCCUGGAUAAGAGCUGUCAAGGAGAGCUUUUUAGCUGGAUUGAGGCUACCAAGUGAUAGCGAUCUUGCCACCACCAUUUUAGAGGACUGCCACCAAAAAGCCUGUUGUUAUGCCGAGUGUUUUACAGGACAAAUAACACUCCCUGCUUCCUCAACUGCCUAAAAUCAAGCCAUAGAUACUGAGCUUCUAUCUGAAUACGGGAGGGAGAGCUGUGACAUAACUAAUAAUACACUUCAAGUAUCACCUGAUGACUACAGCUUUGUGCCAGUGGCAUCGGGAGCACAGGAGGGAUGCUGAGAACUACUGUGAAAGGACUUGUUAUGUGCAAAAGCAAAACAGGGAAAUCUGGGUGCCUGAAUUUUAUGACAUUUAAUUUCAGUGCAGACUACUGAGGCCUUGGUGGUUUCUGGGGUUAUAAUCAUGUUUUUCAGACUGAUUUACCAUGUCAUUCUCCUGCACAGGAUGAAGAUAAGCACAUCAAGGGGUGCUUAGGUCCAGGAGCUUUACAGUGCCAGUUGCUGGUGCUGCAAGCUGCAACACUUAGUUCUGGCCAUAGACAAGAAUCCCAGACUUAGGGGCUGCAGUGUGAUCACACUGGGGGAAGCACAGAAAAAAGGGUCACACACCUCCUCCAUCUCCUGUGACUAGCUUGUCUUCUUGAAUGCCAGCUCUCCUACAUGCUAAGAAAUAGCUGAGCUGGACUUAAUGCAGUGGUGGGCAGCAGAAAAAGGUAGAAGGCAAGUUCGGUGCCAGGCUCAACACUGCCUUUUCUCAGAAUGUCCCCUUCCUGGAAUGGCUUCCCAUCAGCAUGGCAAGACAAGGUGGCAAUUUCUCUUUCUUCCUUAAGUGCAUUUAGCAAAAAGGCAGGCUAGAGGAGGCUGAAACUUUCACAAACAUGAACUCUGUAAUGCUAAGCUGAGUUCAAGCAAAGGUGCAGCACUUUCAAACCAUACCUGGCACAUUAGGGCAACCAUGACAAGCAAGAUACAGAAGUACAAUUGCAGCUUUAAUGUAGAAGUAGCAAGUUUCUGUCAUACUGAAAAUAUAACAUCUUGGCAAGUUACAAAGAAGGCAUUUUUUCAUACUCUGCAGUAGACAACCCUGUUGUCAAAUAAUAAUGCCUUCAUCUUCUGAUGGUGCCGUUGGAAGUGGAGAAGGAGCUCUUUUCACAUCUUGCUCUAUUCUGCCUCUGCUUCUAAUAAAUACCAGUGCCUGCAGCUGAAAAGCUCUAUGCUAAAGUGCCCGGGUUUCUCAAACAGAGACCUCAGAGAAGCACUGCUGGGGUUAACAUACUGUUUUGCCCAGGCAUAUACAAGUGUAUUGCAGAAGGCACUAUGCAAAUAGUGUUCACAGAGUUUAUAAUUUCCUGUUGGAACAGCAAAGAAAAGAAGGUCAUUGAUUUAAACCAGAGAAUACAAAUGAUUUCCUGCCCAACAAAGCUGCCAAAUGCUUGGAGUUAUUGAUUUUUUUCUCCUCCCUGCUGCUAACCAAACACUUCUGGUCCUGUCAUGGGCAUCAUCAGCUUAUUGACUAAGUAAACAUAACCCAUUAAGCUGAACAUUUUAAAAAUAAUAGAAAAUUACAGUGGCUAUAGUAAAAAAAAAAUCUGCAUUCCAAAAAAAUAAAAAUAAAAAGGAGCGGAAAAACAGUUUCUGAACUUAAUUAACUUUUAUGUACAUUCAACUUUCUGGAAUUUAGGUUUGCAUCCAAAAGAGAGAGAAAGGAA